UUGAUCACGUGACCCCGGUGGUUGAGUAACUGGCUGUGAGCAGCAUGGCCCCUGGGGUAAGGGACAUGAAGGAGAACCUCUUGAGGCUGGGUCUACUGCUGAUCUAAGUCGCGGGGGGCGUGGGUCGGACCAGAAACGGCUUGCGACGCGCAGCGCGGGCUGGAGUGAUGCGUGUGUCCAAAGUGGAGCGACACCUGCCUGUUAGAGCUGAACAGGAAGAUGGUACACACCAGAAUCUGGAUACCAUGCACAAAUAUCCAGGACUAGCUCUUGGCUUCAUAAAUUAACUAACUGCACUGGAUUCGGUUAUAAAGAACAAGCUACACUGGUCGACGUCUACAAAAGUAGAGGUCAGCUCCAAACGACUCUUUCCUGAAUCUACGCCUAGGUCGUCAAAAUCCUCCCUGGGACUUUGUCCCAGCUCCUGAACUGAUGCGCUUCCGGACGGAGCCCGGAACAAAAUGAGGCAGUGCGUUUAAAAUGCAUCCCAGCCUUGGUUCUCUCACAAUGUCACAGUCAUGCGGGCUAUGAAGAGGCGUGGGGGAGAAACCCAGGCUGUGACACUGUGCUUGGCUGACAGCGGGAGCACAGGGCUUUUGGAAAAGUCCGCGCGCGGAAACAUUUCCGGCUCUUCCGAACCCGUCCCGCCGUUCCCUCCGUGCAUCCGCCAGGAGACAGUGGGACGCCGGCCUGUGCGGAUUUCAUCCCGGCGUUAAAUUCCCCGUAACGGCUCCGAUUUAGACGGAUCAGCGACGGCUUUCCCCUCGUCUUGGCUAAACGCUCAGCACAACCUUACAGGGCGAUGCAGACCAGCUGGGAUUCACGCCUGGGUUCCUCCAAGUUCCUGCCUAUUCCGCCCAAAUUCUGAAGACGCGCGGGCUGGAACUUGCGUUGGGGCUGAAACCCACCCCACACUUGAGGGCGGGCCCUCGUGCGCUCAGCCACGCUAAGAAACGUCCGACGGCUCGGACACGUUUGAAAACGCAGACGAGAUCACCUGGCAGGAUAAGGCCGGCUGGAAAAACAGGCCAUUUGGUGGCUGACUUGUAGCUGCGUUGUGGCGGGGUGCCUCGCUUCGGGAGCACGGGGCUCUGGGGCCAGAGCUCUGGCCGGCACGGCGGACCAAAGACGAGGUAAAACUGUUGUUUUCGCUUAACCGGCCAGAACGCAAGAACAAAAGAAUCAGUAAAACGUGCUCUGGGAGGGGAAAGAGCAAAACCAAAAAAUGCCAAACCACAGCCUUGUGUUUCUAAAUAAGAAAAAAGAGGAACAUUAUCUUCUACUGGUGAUUAUCUGGU